rnacentral:lncRNA from 1 species
AUUUAACAUAGAUAUUUCUAGAAUAUGCAUAUUCUGAAUAUAUGAAACAUCUAAGCUUGACAUUAUUUGUACAUAAAGCCCUUUGACUUGGAGUCAAGAUGUGCUGUACAGUUUGGUGCUGAGUGCUCUGGACGCCCCAGCAGGGCCGGAGAAAAUCUGCAGAGGCAGCAGCAACUGACCCUAACAGAGCAAGAGGCCUGACCUUCACACCUAUGUAACCCAAGGUCACAGAAAUGCUGAGGGGCCAUGUGACUCCAGUGAAGCAGGAGUAUCCAUCCAGCCACAGAGAUGGGACCUGUCCAAAUGGGACCUGUCUGUUCCAAAGGUUAUUCUGCUUGAAAAUCAGGCCAGGCAUGGUGGCUCACAACUGUAAUCCCAG